UACGAAGGGGGCUAGCGUUGUUCGGAAUUACUGGGCGUAAAGCGCGCGUAGGCGGACUGACAAGUCGGGGGUGAAACCCCGAGGCUCAACCUCGGAACUGCCUUCGAUACUGUCAGUCUUGAGGUCGGGAGAGGUGAGUGGAACUCCGAGUGUAGAGGUGAAAUUCGUAGAUAUUCGGAAGAACACCAGUGGCGAAGGCGGCUCACUGGCCCGAUUCUGACGCUGAGGCGCGAAAGCGUGGGGAGCAAACAGG
rnacentral:rRNA from 1 species